rnacentral:sRNA from 1 species
UUUUCUUAUUUCUGCAGCUGCUGUUGUUUCUUGAUCAGGGAGCUCCCGCUCCCAAUCCCAUUUCUACUUGCAUAUUUAAUUUCUUAACACUUCUCUUAGUCCUUUGUCACCCCAUGCAAAUUGUGUUGUUAAUCGUAAGUGCUGGAGGAGGAGGAGGAGUAUUGGUGACAAAAACGGCCUACAGCAAAGCUCUUGUGCUGUGUCUUCCCCUCCCCGAUGAAUGGGCUGAAACUUAUGUACUUGUAGUACAUAACAACCGUAAUUACCGGUUUUUGCAACGUUAUCUUCUGAUACGAAAGCGACAGGCGCCAGAAGCGAACCCCAAGGGUGGCGCCAGACAUGAAACUAAAUGCACUAAAUGGCUGCCAUUAUACUCUUUACCAAUCUUACAUUGUGGAACAAAACU